rfam:Schistosoma rodhaini strain Burundi genome assembly, scaffold: SROB_scaffold0002818
GCACUGCUGAGGAGUGCCACAGUAGGACGAUACGGCCGUCCAGUGC